rfam:Brassica napus, WGS project CCCW01000000 data, contig: 2939
GGAAUAUAAGAAACCGUAUUUUAACUUUAACUAAAAAAAACUAAGAACGACUCUUAGUUAAGAUAUUUAAGAGCCACUUCUUAGCUUUUUUUAAUUAAAAGUUAAGAGACGGUUUCUUAUAUUCC